rnacentral:rRNA from 1 species
CCUACGGGUGGCAGCAGUGAGGAAUAUUGGUCAAUGGACGAGAGUCUGAACCAGCCAAGUAGCGUGAAGGAUGACUGCCCUAUGGGUUGUAAACUUCUUUUAUAUGGGAAUAAAAUGUUCCACGUGUGGGAUUUUGUAUGUACCAUAUGAAUAAGGAUCGGCUAACUCCGUGCCAGCAGCCGCGGUAAUACGGAGGAUCCGAGCGUUAUCCGGAUUUAUUGGGUUUAAAGGGAGCGUAGGUGGAUUGUUAAGUCAGUUGUGAAAGUUUGCGGCUCAACCGUAUAAUUGCAGUUGAAACUGGCAGUCUUGAGUACAGUAGAGGUGUGCGGAAUUCGUGGUGUAGCGGUGAAAUGCUUAGAUAUCACGAAGAACUCCGAUUGCGAAGGCAGUUCACUGGACUGCAACUGACACUGAGGCUCGAAAGUGUGGGUAUCAAACAGGAUUAGAUACCCUUGUAGUC